GUGUUUUCAGGUGUCCAGUGUGAGGUGCAGCUGGUGGAGUCUGGGGGAGGCUUGGUCCAGCCUGGAGGGUCCCUGAGACUCUCCUGUGCAGCCUCCGGAUUCACCUUCAGUGACUACGAUAUGGACUGGGUCCGCCAGGCUCCAGGGAAAGGGCUGGAGUGGGUGGCAGGCAUUGAUAGUGAUGGUGGCACAUACUACGCAGACGCCGUGAAGGGCCGAUUCACCAUCUCCAGAGACAACGGCAAGAACACGCUGUCUCUGCAAAUGAACAGUCUGAGAGCCGAGGACACGGCCCUGUACUACUGUGCCAGAGACACAGUGAGUCCUUGUGAGUGGUGUCCUUGUGGCCCCAGCAUGAUGACACAGCACCCUGCAGUCAAGUCCCUCCUGUGUGAAGUGCCUGCCCCAGAUGGUCCUUUGUCCAGGAGCCUCCUCAUCCUCCCCCCUCUGCUCCUCCUGACUGCCCUCUCCUGUGUCCCCCUCCUUCCUGUGGAGAGCAAACUCGUCCCCUGGUUUUACUCUCACACCCACCGUCAUCAAGAGGGAACCAGGGUCAUGUAG